GAUGAACGCUAGCGGGAGGCCUAACACAUGCAAGCCGAGCGGUAUUGUUUCUUCGGAAAUGAGAGAGCGGCGUACGGGUGCGUAACACGUGUGCAACCUGCCUUUAUCUGGGGGAUAGCCUUUCGAAAGGAAGAUUAAUACUCCAUAAUAUAUUGAACGGCAUCGUUUAAUAUUGAAAGCUCCGGCGGAUAGAGAUGGGCACGCGCAAGAUUAGCUAGUUGGUGAGGUAACGGCUCACCAAGGCGAUGAUCUUUAGGGGGCCUGAGAGGGUGAUCCCCCACACUGGUACUGAGACACGGACCAGACUCCUACGGGAGGCAGCAGUGAGGAAUAUUGGUCAAUGGGUGCUAGCCUGAACCAGCCAUCCCGCGUGAAGGACGACUGCCCUAUGGGUUGUAAACUUCUUUUGUAUAGGGAUAAACCUACCCUCGAGAGGGUAGCUGAAGGUACUAUACGAAUAAGCACCGGCUAACUCCGUG
rnacentral:rRNA from 1 species